UAUGUGAUCGUCUCUCGCAUAUCAAUAAGCGGAGGAAAAGAAACUAACAAGGAUUCCCUUAGUAACGGCGAGUGAAGCGGGAAGAGCUCAAAUUUGAAAUCUUCAAGGUUUUACCUUGACGAAUUGUAGUUUAAAGAAGUGUUUUCUGUUGAAGUUUUGGUAAAAGUUCUUUGGAAUAGGACAUCAUAGAGGGUGAGAAUCCCGUAUUUGACCAUUAUUUUCAGCUGUGUGAUACACUUUCAAAGAGUCGGAUUGUUUGGGAAUGCAGUCCAAAAUGGGUGGUAAAUUUCAUCUAAAGCUAAAUAUUGGCGAGAGACCGAUAGCGAACAAGUACCGUGAGGGAAAGAUGAAAAGAACUUUGAAAAGAGAGUUAAACAGUACGUGAAAUUGUCAAAAGGGAAGCGUUUGACACCAGUGUUGUUUUCUCGAAAACCAAUUAAAAAGAGUUAGAUUUUGUUGUGUAAUUGACCUUAACAGCUUGCAUUUCAAUUUUCUUGCUUUUUUUAAUGCACUUUUCGUUUAACAAGUCAACAUCAGUUUCUUUUGUUGUAAAAAGGUCAUUGGAAGGUGGCCUUUCUUUUCGGAGAAAGUGUUUAUAGCCUUUGACUCCUGCAAUCGGAGAGACUGAGGUCUGCAGCGUAGAUCCUUCGGGGUUAGAUACAUUUGUGCUAAGUUAUAGCUUUUUAUAGACAACUUGUUGACUAUGAUUAGUCUUGUAGCUUACUCGCUUAUGCUAUUUUACCUACGCUUAGGAUGUUGAAGAUGUAGCACAUCAU
rnacentral:rRNA from 1 species